rnacentral:rRNA from 1 species
GACGAACGCUGGCGGCGUGCUUAACACAUGCAAGUCGAACGGUAAGGCCCUUCGGGGUACACGAGUGGCGAACGGGUGAGUAACACGUGGGUGAUCUGCCCUGCACUUCAGGAUAAGCCUGGGAAACUGGGUCUAAUACCGGAUAGGACCACUGCCUGCAUGGGUGGUGGUGGAAAGCUUUUGCGGUGUGGGAUGGGCCCGCGGCCCAUCAGCUUGUUGGUGGGGUGAUGGCCUACCAAGGCGACGACGGGUAGACGGCCUGAGAGGGUGACCGGCCACACUGGGACUGAGAUACGGCCCAGACUCCUACGGGAGGCAGCAGUGGGGAAUAUUGCACAAUGGGCGCAAGCCUGAUGCAGCGACGCCGCGUGAGGGAUGACGGCCUUCGGGUUGUAAACCUCUUUCAGCACCGACGAAGCGCAAGUGACGGUAGGUGCAGAAGAAGGACCGGCCAACUACGUGCCAGCCGCCGCCGUAAAAC